UACGUAGGGGGCUAGCGUUGUCCGGAAUCAUUGGGCGUAAAGAGCGUGUAGGCGGCCCGGUAAGUCCGCUGUGAAAGUCGGGGGCUCAACCCUCGAAAGCCGGUGGAUACUGGCGAUCUAGAGUGCGGUAGAGGGUAGUGGAAUUCCCGGUGUAGCAGUGGAAAUGCGUAGAGAUCAGGAAGAACACCGGUGGCGAAAGCGCUCUGCUAGGCCGCAACUGACACUCAUGGACGAAAGGCUAGGGGAGCGAAUGGG
rnacentral:rRNA from 1 species